rnacentral:rRNA from 1 species
AUUGAACGCUGGCGGCAGGCUUAACACAUGCAAGUCGAGCGGAGAUGAGGUGCUUGCACCUUAUCUUAGCGGCGGACGGGUGAGUAAUGCUUAGGAAUCUGCCUAUUAGUGGGGGACAACAUUCCGAAAGGAAUGCUAAUACCGCACACGUCCUACGGGAGAAAGCAGGGGAUCUUCGGACCUUGCGCUAUUAGAUGAGCCUAAGUCGGAUUAGCUAGUUGGUGGGGUAAAGGCCUACCAAGGCGACGAUCAGUAGCGGGUCUGAGAGGAUGAUCCGCCACACUGGGACUGAGACACGGCCCAGACUCCUACGGGAGGUAGCAGUGGGGAAUAUUGGACAAUGGGGGGAACCCUGAUCCAGCCAUGCCGCGUGUGUGAAGAAGGCCUUAUGGUUGUAAAGCACUUUAAGCGAGGAGGAGGCUACUGAGACUAAUACUCUUGGAUAGUGGACGUUACUCGCAGAAUAAGCACCGGCUAACUCUGUGCCAGCCGCCGCCGUAA